rnacentral:lncRNA from 1 species
GUGUAAUUCAACAGACAGCUAGACAGGUUUAGGUCCAGUGUAAUUCAACAGACAGCUAGACAGGUUUAGGUCCAGUGUAAUUCAACAGACAGCUAGACAGGUUUAGGUCCAGUGUAAUUCAACAGACAGCUAGACAGGUUUUGGUCCAGUGUAAUUCAACAGACAGCUAGACAGGUUUAGGUCCAGUGUAAUUCAACACACAGCUAGACAGGUUUUGGUCCAGUGUAAUUCAACAGACAGCUAGACAGGUUUAGGUCCAGUGUAAUUCAACACACAGCUAGACAGGUUUUGGUCCAGUGUAAUUCAACACACAGCUAGACAGGUUUUGGUCCAGUGUAAUUCAACAGACAGCUAGACAGGUUUAGGUCCAGUGUAAUUCAACAGACAGCUAGACAGGUUUUGGUCCAGUGUAAUUCAACACACAGCUAGACAGGUUUAGGUCCAGUGUAAUUCAACACACAGCUAGACAGGUUUUGGUCUAGUGUAAUUCAACAGACAGCUAGACAGGUUUUGGUCUAGUGUAAUGACAUUAACUAAAUAAAACAUGUCUUCACAAUACAAUGUUUAUAAUACAUCCAGCAUAUUGAUUAUUACUUUUUCUACACCAAUGACAUAAGAUUUGACUAAUUACCAGACAGUCCCCACAACCUAGUUGAUACUGACCUUAACCCAACACCUAGCAACCUCAUAACCUGGUCUAUACUGAGUUUAUACUGUAGUGACCUUAACCCAACACCUAGCAACCUCAUAACCUGGUCUAUACUGAGUUUAUACUGUAGUGACCUUAACCCAACACCUAGCAAUUUCAUAACCUGGUCUAUACUGAGUUUAUACUGUAGUGACCUUAACCCAACACCUAGCAACCUCAUAACCUGGUCUAUACUGAGUUUAUACUGUAGUGACCUUAACCCAACACCUAGCAACCUCAUAACCUGGUCUAUACUGAAGUGACCUUAACCCAACACCUAGCAACCUCAUAACCUGGUCUAUACUGAGUUUAUACUGUAGUGACCUUAACCCAACACCUAGCAACCUCAUAACCUGGUCUAUACUGAGUUUAUACUGUAGUGGCCUUAACCCAACACCUAGCAACCUCAUAACCUGGUCUAUACUGAGUUAAUACUGUAGUGACCUUAACCCAACACCUAGCAACCUCAUAACCUGGUCUAUACUGAGUUAAUACUGUAGUUACCUUAACCCAACACCUAGCAACUUCAUAACCUGGUCUAUACUGAAGUGACCUUAACCCAACACCUAGCAACCUCAUAACCUGGUCUAUACUGAGUUUAUACUGUAGUGACCUUAACCCAACACCUAGCAACCUCAUAACCUGGUCUAU